AUUGAACGCUGGCGGAAUGCCUUACACAUGCAAGUCGAACGGCAGCACGGACUUCGGUCUGGUAGCGAGUGGCGAACGGGUGAGUAACAUAUCGGAACGUAUCCAAUAAUGGGGGAUAACGAGUCGAAAGAUUCGCUAAUACCGCAUACGCCCUACGGGGGAAAGCUGGGGACCUUCGGGCCUGGCGUUAAUGGAGCGGCCGAUAUCUGAUUAGCUAGUUGGUGAGGUAAAGGCUCACCAAGGCGACGAUCAGUAGCUGGUCUGAGAGGACGACCAGCCACACUGGAUCUGAGACACGGUCCAGACUCCUACGGGAGGCAGCAGUGGGGAAUUUUGGACAAUGGGCGCAAGCCUGAUCCAGCCAUUCCGCGUGAGUGAAGAAGGCCUUCGGGUUGUAAAGCUCUUUCGCAAGGGAAGAAAACUUAGCCACUAACAUUGGUUGAGGUUGACGGUACCUUGAUAAGAAGCACCGGCUAACUACGUGCCAGCCGCCGCCGUAA
rnacentral:rRNA from 1 species